rnacentral:rRNA from 1 species
CGCUCUUUGAUAAAAUUUUUGAAGUAUAAAGAGUUCUGCCUGCCCAGUGACGCUGUUAAACGGCCGCGGUACUUUGACCGUGCAAAGGUAGCAUAAUCAUUUGCCUCUUAAUUAGAGGCUGGUAUGAAUGGCAAGACGGGGGUUAAGCUGUCUCUUUCCUUAAUCUUGAAAUUAAUAUUUUUGUGAAGAAGCAAAAAUAAAAUCGUAGGACGAGAAGACCCUAUUGAGCUUUAAUGAAGGUUUUGGGCCUUUUUUUAUUUUUUAUGCUAAUAAAAAUUUUUUAUAAAAUAUUAUUAAAUUUACUAGAAAAAUUCUUAGGUUUUAUUUCAUAUCAUUUUGGUUGGGGCAACCAUGGAGAAAAAAUAUCCUCCAUUAUAAAAUAGAUUUAUACUAAAAGUAACACCUUUAAAAUAUAAAGAAUUAUAUAUUUAUUGAUCCACUUUUUUGAGUGAUCAAAGGAACAAGUUACCAUAGGGAUAACAGCGUAAUUUCUUUGGAGAGUUCAUAUUGAUAAAGAAGUUUGCGACCUCGAUGUUGGAUCGAGAUUUCCAGGAGAUGCAGCAGUUUCCAAGGGUUGGUCUGUUCGACCAUUAAAAUCUU